rnacentral:lncRNA from 1 species
UCUGACACAAAACAACAGUAAGAAACACCCUCCACUCUUAGUGAGAGCUGAGGAUUUGGAUGACGUGGACCAGCUGGAGGAGAUUUUCUGGAAGGCAACUGAAUACAUUCUCAUCAGCCAUGGCAGUUCUCCAGGAAGCCCCUGGGCCUCAGUGGCAAUGCAGAUCAUGUGUUGAAGAAGACAGAGUGUUUGCACUUGUGGUACUUAGGAGAAGGAAGACAUCC